UCAUUGUUUUGUCUAAACUUUUCCACGGACCCCCUAGCACUUGACAAUAACAACAACCAAUAACAACGAUAACCACAAAAACGACAACAACUAUGCUUCAUCUCAUCAUGCAACCAUCAAUACAUUCAGGAGUCAGAAAAGCACAGACAUUUCUUCAUCCAUCCCUGCAUUCUUCUCCGGGGGAGAGUGAACGUAAAGUUUAACCAACAACUUGAAAUGGGGCCCAGAUGCAGGGUCCAGACCAAAUUGAAGUGUGCUGGAUUCAGAUAAGUGUAAUGUCCUGGGGUUUGCGGCCCGGCCCGGCGCUUCGCUUUGCUCUCGGUGACAGCAGGUGUGGCGUCAGCGCGCGCGGGGAGACAAGGUCACCGGGAUUCCAGGCUAAUAAAUGGUGUGAAGAUGGAACGGGCCGGUGGAGAGCGAGGCUGUGGAGCGAUUCGCCACAUACAUCAACUCCACUGAGCAGAAAAUUGAAAUGGAAAUCUGGGCCUUGAAUGAGUGCAGAUCCCAUUGUCCCCAGAAUGCAAUCUGAUGAUGUAUGAUAUCUUUUAAGGCGGCCGGUCCCGCUCGCCGCUUCAUUUUGAACCACAACUGGACAGGUGAGCUCAUGUGAAACUUUGCGGGGGCGUCUGAAUGAGGUUCCCCAAACAGAGUAUGAUGACUCCUCAGUGAAAAGUGAGUAGAUAUAUAGGCUAAGCGCAUUAUGGAUUCAUGAAGAUCAAGAUGGAUGUCUCCAGGGAGUAAACUAAUUGCUGUAAGCUGAGAAAUGUGAUAAACACUUGAGGCUGGAUAGCAACGAUGAGAAAAGCAAUAAAAGCACAUGCAUAAAUCACAGACUCAACUGACACAGCAAAUUUCCACACGAGAUUUAACAUUGUACCACACCAAUGUACACCUUUGGCACCACAGAAAAAUACAAUAAAUCAUAGGCUAUCGGAGUUGUGAAUAUGAGUUUGCAGUUGUGUGUUGGUUGAUGUGAUGCAAUGAAUGCAAAUCUUUCUGUUGAACUGUCAAGGAGAGCUGCGCAUAAAAACGAACACAAAACGCGGCCAGUGUAGCACAAUUCCCGAACAAAUGAUUCUCAGGACCCAAUUCUUUUUAAAUGAAUCAGAAUCACAUUCCGCGACCAGUAGCGUAUAGUCUGGUUCCAGAAUGAACGACUCUUCUGAGCCGGUUCUUUUUAGUGAAUCAAAAACAUACGCGGCCAACGUGGUCUGAUUACCGAACAAAUGACUUCUGUGCCGGUUCUUUUUAGUGAAUCAAAAACCAAAGCGCGAUCAGACGCUGCGCAGUCCGAUCGGUGUAUGAUAUCAAAGUACCGCGAGAGCGAUUAGAGAGCAGGCGGCUCUUUAUGCUUUUGAAUUGCUCUCGCGGUGUCAACCGCCGAUUGGACUGCGCUGCGCCGACGCAUCUCGAACAAGCCUAACAUGAUUCCUGAACAAAUGAGUCUUGAUUCAAAUUUCUUGAUCCAAAAACACAAAGCACAACAAUGUGGUCUGAUUUCACUAAAAAGAACCGGCUCUUGGGCUCAGAAGAGUCAUUCGUUCUGGAAUCGGACUAUAGGCUACUGGUUGCGGUGUAUGACAUUGAUUCAGUAAAAAAAAAAAAAAACGCUCAUGAGAAUCAUUCGUUAGGGAAUCGCUACACUGGCUACUUGUGUGUUCUAGUAGUGUUCACAGGUUUUAAAGAGUUCCUUUAAAGAGUUCCAGAUAGCUUAUGACAGCUUUCAUUCUGACAGAUGAGCCAGGAUGGAUUAAAGAAACCUCUAUAAACAAGCGACCAUCAUCUUCUUUUCAUUUGCUGAUACAAACACAGGGACAGGUGAAAGCUCUUUGCUUAAAAAUGAUUUAACAAAACUGAGUCAGCAAAGAACAGAGUUUGUCCUGAGGAGAGGUGGUCAAGAUGGACGAGACGAGAGCCAGAAACUCCCCAGCUCAUAAACUUCUAGACAGCCAUUUCAAACCAGAGGGAAGGUGAAGACAGGACUGCUGCAGCAGUGGUAGCAGGUGGAGGUGUUUAGAGGAGAAUAACUCCCAUCUGUUGAGGAACACCGUGUCUGAACCAGCAGCUCCGGCUCCAUUAAGCAGAUCACUGAAGAAAAUCAACGAGCCACCGCAGGGGAGAAGCAAACUAAUGGCCAAGAUGAAGGUGAAACACCCAGCACACAUGGAACAGAGGCAUGAAUCUCGAUGUGCUUAAGAUCUCAGCGAGCGCAGAAGACUUCAGGGCUUCUCUGGACAACUGUGACUUGAGAGGGAGAACGACUCCCAGCCGAACAUCAUAAGCAGAUCCCAGUGUUUUUGAGUGUGUCUGUGCUACUGGUUACUGAUUCAUUAUUAAUAAGAGCACUAUGUAUAUCUGAUAACUCUGCCAGACUCAAUCAGAAGGAGAGUAAUUAAGGGAAAUAAUAUUUGUUGGUUCAAGCAUGCACCUAGUUUGAUGAUUGAAGUUGAAUUCCCAGUUAGUACACUGGCUGAGUAAGAAGUUUUGGAAGAAGUUCUCCAGCACUGUUGUCCUGAAAGUACCUCACCAAACUUCACAGGGGCUUGUGGGAGAGACUGCGGAGGACUGCUAAACCUGACAGCAGCAGCAGCGGAACCUGCUCAGUUUCUGCUUGCGUGAGAAAUAAAAAGCAAACAGACUUUGUGCGUGGCAGCGCCUAGAUCUGUAUCAAGAGCGAGUGUCAACAGCACUGAUCACAGGAAAUUCACUUUGAGUUGUUGUUUUACAGUGUACAGGGACAUUUCAAUGCCACAAACACACACUCCGUUCCAAAACUUCCCCAGAUGGCAUAAAUGGUGCCUUUAUAGGGCACUUCAAAGGGAGAGAAGUCACCUCUGUCGUUUUGAAGGGUUGUUCCAAACAGAAGAACAUGUUCAAGUACAGUGAACUGUAAAAAGUUUUUUUUUUUUUUUUUUUUUACAAAGUUAUUGGAGCAUGUUUUACAAGAAAAUGCUAGUCUUUCUGCUUUCCUAGAAAUCAUUUUGAGAUUGCUCUAUUAAAUAGCAAACUAAUCAUAAUUUUCAUCAUGAGCAUACAUUUAAAGACCAAUCCUAUAUAGGUUUUUUUGACUGAGUGUAAUUUUAAUUUUGACCAGAUCAUUUUACAUUUAAUUCAAUGUGUUACUUGCAAUUUCUUUGUAAUUAUUUGUGAACUUUACUAACAAUUCCCAAGUGAAAAUUGUUUCAGAGUAAAUGCUACAGGAAAAAAAAAAAAGCUUAAAAAGUGAAUUUUGAAUAACCAGAAGUACUCCUUUGGAAGAGUUUUUUUUUUUUUUCACUGAAUAAUAGUGAUCUGUCAAUUUACACCACACAUCACAAUUUAUAUCAAACACCAAUACUUUGUAUGUAUAUAAUACCUAUAAUUGAGUAAAAUCUUAGUUACUGUUGGAAAUGUGACUCACCUUAUUUUUUUAAAUAUGUGAUUUAAGGAAUAAAUAUAUUUAUUCACCCAAAAUAUACAUAUAUCAAAUCAGAUAACAUACAUGCAUGUUGAUUUGGUGCUCAGGAAACAUUUCUUAUUAUUAUCACGGUUGAAAACAGUUUUCUUAAAAAUUUGCUGCUUAAUA